rnacentral:rRNA from 1 species
GCAGUCGANCGGANGGCCCNUUCGGGGUACUCGAGUGGCGAACGGGUGAGUAACACGUGGGUGAUCUGCCCUGCACUUUGGGAUAAGCCUGGGAAACUGGGUCUAAUACCGAAUAGGACCACGCGCUUCAUGGUGUGUGGUGGAAAGCUUUUGCGGUGUGGGAUGGGCCCGCGGCCUAUCAGCUUGUUGGUGGGGUAAUGGCCUACCAAGGCGACGACGGGUAGCCGGCCUGAGAGGGUGACCGGCCACACUGGGACUGAGAUACGGCCCAGACUCCUACGGGAGGCAGCAGUGGGGAAUAUUGCACAAUGGGCGCAAGCCUGAUGCAGCGACGCCGCGUGAGGGAUGACGGCCUUCGGGUUGUAAACCUCUUUCAAUAGGGACGAAGCGCAAGUGACGGUACCUAUAGAAGAAGCACCGGCCAACUACGUGCCAGCAGCCGCGGUAAUACGUAGGGUGCGAGCGUUGUCCGGAAUUACUGGGCGUAAAGAGCUCGUAGGUGGUUUGUCGCGUUGUUCGUGAAAACUCACAGCUUAACUGUGGGCGUGCGGGCGAUACGGGCAGACUAGAGUACUGCAGGGGAGACUGGAAUUCCUGGUGUAGCGGUGGAAUGCGCAGAUAUCAGGAGGAACACCGGUGGCGAAGGCGGGUCUCUGGGCAGUAACUGACGCUGAGGAGCGAAAGCGUGGGGAGCGAACAGGAUUAGAUACCCUGGUAGUCCACGCCGUAAACGGUGGGUACUAGGUGUGGGUUCCUUCCUUGGGAUCCGUGCCGUAGCUAACGCAUUAAGUACCCCGCCUGGGGAGUACGGCCGCAAGGCUAAAACUCAAAGGAAUUGACGGGGGCCCGCACAAGCGGCGGAGCAUGUGGAUUAAUUCGAUGCAACGCGAAGAACCUUACCUGGGUUUGACAUGCACAGGACGCCGGCAGAGAUGUCGGUUCCCUUGUGGCCUGUGUGCAGGUGGUGCAUGGCUGUCGUCAGCUCGUGUCGUGAGAUGUUGGGUUAAGUCCCGCAACGAGCGCAACCCUUGUCCUAUGUUGCCAGCGGGUUAUGCCGGGGACUCGUAGGAGACUGCCGGGGUCAACUCGGAGGAAGGUGGGGAUGACGUCAAGUCAUCAUGCCCCUUAUGUCCAGGGCUUCACACAUGCUACAAUGGCCGGUACAAAGGGCUGCGAUGCCGUGAGGUGGAGCGAAUCCUUUCAAAGCCGGUCUCAGUUCGGAUCGGGGUCUGCAACYCRACCCCGUGAAGUYGGAGUCGCUAGUAAUCGCAGAUMAGCAACGCUGCGGUGAAUACGUUCCCGGGCCUUGUACACACCGCCCGUCACGUCAUGAAAGUCGGUAACACCCGARGCCG